UAGACAACGUCUAGAAGUACUUCCAGCCUCAGCCAUUCUGUGGCUGUUGGAGACUGAAGCUGGAAUCUGUCCAUGCUGAGAUGAGCUCUGUGGCAUCUGCUGUAAAUCCUCACCAUGUGUAAAAACUGCUACCAUGCCAUGUUUUGGACUGGGAAGAACUUUUCUCUUGGCAUGUGAUGAUGAGGCAUUUCCAUUUACAGCUUUGGAAAACACAUUUCUGAACACCAGCAACAGCUGUAGUUUCUUGUCCUACCUCUACCGAAGCUGCAAGUACUUCUCAGGGCUGUGAGAGCACCAGUCGGAGAUGCUUAUACACCAAGUAUGGAGCAGGACCAUAAAUCAGAGCUGUCUGCAGGGAACAUAUACUGAAUUUCUAAAGAAAAGAAAACCUUAUUCAUGAGCCGAGCAGAGCAGCAGAGAGACACAGGACUGCAAGAAGAAUGGCUGUCAGGAGGUUAAAUACUGCUGUUGUUACUCUGAUGAAAGUGCCUGAAGUCAGUGGGGGUUUAACCUGGCUCUGAAACCACAAGUACAAUAUUUAGAGAUGCUUAGCAGCAGCAGACAGCAUUGAUUUCCACUGGAAUGCUGCAGGUUCAGUACUUAGCAAAAGUCAGACUCUGUGUUUUACCAGGGUUUUGCUGCUGCAAAUAAAUAUGGGGGUACUU